GGGGCCUUCCACCUCCGCGAGUUUUAUGACUUAAAAAACCCCACAGGCUGGUCUGAAGGUCGGAGGCCUAAUUUUAACGCGUUUUCCUCCCUUUAAUUUGAAACGCGAACGCGAAUGGCUGUAAAAUGUGGGCACAAUAUUUAAUUUCUCGCCUUUUUAAAGCUUAAUAGUGGAUAAUAGGGGGCAGUAUCAAGGGAUAAUUUGGGUCCCCACAGUACCAAAGCAUUUAGAAACCUCUGUUUAAUUUAAGGAAUGAGAUAAAUUACUGCUUUUCUAGACUUCCUAGCAUGGGCUGUUGUGCUGGAGAGAACGAGAGCUACGAAGAGACUACAAUGCCUCUGACUUUUUCAUAGGACAGUUGGCCGGUGAAUCUUAUUAAUAGUUUACCACAAAUAAGUGUUCAUUUUUAGUCUAGAAGGGACAGGCGUUUAUUGUGCAUUGGCCAGUGCCAGCACAUCCGAUGCAAGGCAGUUCGCCGUAUUCUAUCUUUAAUUUUUACCAUGGUCCUCUGAGGUAGGUGUUCUUAUCUCUCUCUCUCUCUCUCUCUUUUAAACAGAGGAAGACAAACAUAAAGAUGAAGUGCUUAAUUCAAGGUCACACAAUGUCGGGGAUGGACCUCCAGAUUUCCUUACUGACCUGCAUUAUCUUGUGGAUACCUGAGUGAAUUCCACACCACCCAUUUUAUAGAUGAAACCACUGAGACAUGGAGCAACUGACUGAGUAGUCACUGCCCCACCCCUGC
rnacentral:antisense_RNA from 1 species